rnacentral:tRNA from 1 species
GGAGGGCGAAGGGCCCUGGUGGGUCUCCCGGUCUUCAAAACCGGUGCCGCCUCGGGUGAGGCGGGGUCGGUUCGAUUCCGACCGCCCUCCGCCA